CAGGUAGGAUUCUUGGUAGCAGCUUAGGACAGACAUCAGAAGGAUGCUGGGCAGCUCUAAGCUUCGGGGAUGAGACAAGAGGAUGCGGGACUAGUGGGCGCCUUGCUCCCAGCCUGGGGAAAGCUACCCGGGGGAACAGACUUGUGAUGCAUGGACAGGUCAUGCUGGACAAGCACGUGGCUCCCAGGUAACUGGAAUCCUCAGGUUAACCAGACCUGAACACAGCCUCUCACGGAGACUCCGAGUCGCUCAAGGGGAACCACGGCCUCCUCCUGCCUAGAUUUUGAAUCAGGCGGCCCCUGGGGAAGGAGAUAGUUCAUAUGUGCUCCCGGGAAAGUGACUGGGCAGGUCUUCUGAUCAGAGCUCAGGGUGGUGCGUUUAUCCCCUGAAGAAGCUAAAAAUCUUUUUCGUACUAACGGAUUCUGGUUUUAAUUGUAUAGAGGCCAUUACAAGCCCUGCCCUCUGGUCUCGGAUUGAAUUCCCAAGAUCCAAUACCUGGGGGGAGUUUGAGGGAUGGAGGGACCUGGCUCUGGGGUGCUGUCUGGAUGUACUUUUCAUGGGAACAUUUUCUGCAUGAGUCCCACGGGGUCGAUCCUGAUACAGCUACUUUGUGGAUGAACCUCGGGCCAAUUAGUUAGCAUCUCUGCAUCUUGGCUUCAUUAUAUAUCAAAUAUGUAGCAAUAAUCCCUGCCUCGGAGCGUGUGGAAAUCAGAGCCUAUAAUAGAUAUACGAAGUCUGGAGCUGCUGAUGCUCAGUUAAGUGGUGGUUAUAAGGAGAUUAUGGUGACGAUGAUCCCGAGGAAGAGGAUGGUCAGAAUGUUGUCAGUAGCAAACCCCACAUUUUUCUAUCCCUCAAAACCAGUAGUAAGUGCUAGAUGGGGGUAAGGAAGUUCAGAGUUUCCAGGCUAGCUAAUGCUAUAUAACUAACUACCAGCCCCAAAACUAUGGCUUAAAAUGACAAUUAUUUACAGCUCAUGAAUCAAAGCUGGGGACUGGCUGAGCUCACCUGGGCUUAGCUGAUGUGGGCGGAGGUUGGUCAGGAAUCUGAGAGCCAUUGGCUGCCGGUUGAUGAUGUAGGCCGGCCCCUCCGGGGCUACUGUGGCACACCAGCCGGGCAAGGAAGAUCAAACGUGUUGGAGGUAGAUUUAGAGCCCUUUAUCCAUCGUGUCUGCUGCAGGCUAUUGACCAAAGCAAGCCCCAAACUCAAGGGGGUAGAGAGAUUGACUCCACCUCUUAAGUGGGAGACACUGCCAGGACGCUGAGCAACAAGUAUGGACACAGAAAGGUGCGAAGAACUGAGGCCACCUAUAGAGCCGGGCUGUCUCUGAUGGUUUGUGGGCAUCAGUAAAAGCGAUGAGGACGCCCUAGGAAAACUUGGCCUUCCAGGGAUGGUCAUGAAGGGAUCACCAACCUCUGCACCCUCAGUGGAGGCCUUUUGUGGGGCUCCAGGGCACCAAUGGGGCAGCCCACAGGACUCCAGCUGCAAGGGGGUGUGACUGUGGCUGGACCACAUUGCUGGGUGCAGGCCGGGGAGCCUCGGGGGCAGAGUUACAGCCUCAAUGACAGAAGAGCUGCUCUAGGUAUCUGAUCAUAGUCACACCAAAGAGUCCUGAGUCCUCUCUCUCUCUGGGCCUCCAUCUCUGCCUCCACACACCAACAGAACCAUCCCCAGAGCCCUCACCACAUUGUCAUUCAAAGGGCCAACAGUCUGGCUCCCCUGCCUGCCAGCUCUCACCUACUCCGGCUGAAGAGUCUGCUUCUCUCUGGUCCUUCAUCAACAGGGAUUGACUGUAAGUGGCAACCCCAGCACCUCCUUGUGCAUUGGCAUAACCAAGGCAGAGACUCUCCGGAACCAGGACAGCUGGCUCACGUGGGUUCUGGGGGGACUUGAAGGGAUAAAAACGUCGGCGAACAUGCAGAGCAAUUGAGAGAGGCUGAGGCUGGGAGGCGGGACACAUGGGCAUCUGCUGCCGCUCUGUCUCACCAUGGGAUGAAGGCACAUGCAGCACUGGGGGCCUUCCAGGUUCUGGUCUUGAAGUCAGGAGAGCCCCAGGAUCUGGCCUCAGCCACCACUCACAUGUUGUAUGGCACAGACAGGUCACUUGUCCUUUCUGUGCCUCCCCUCUGAAAAUGAGGAGCAUUAUAUCACCACCUCUUAGAGUUGGCAGGAGGAGGACCCAAGGACUGAAUGAGCACAAAGCUCUGGGCACAGCAGCAGGCACAGAGGAAGCCCCCCGGGAUGAUAGAUGACACCAGAGCCAGCCGACCAAAGAUGCAGUAGAAACCCAACAGCCUCCUGGGCCUGUCGUGUUUCCUCUGGGAACAGCUAAGUGUGUUUCAUAGACCUGCCCUUUGGGGGUCUUUCUUCUUCUUCUUCUUCUUUUUUUUUUUUUUAAGAGAGAGAGAGCACAAGCAGGGAGCGGGGAGAGAAUGAAUCUUAAGCAGGUCCCAUGCCCGGUGUGGAGCCCAAUGCAGGGCUCAAUCCCACAACCCUGAGAUGAGCUGAAAUCAAAAGUCAGAUGCUUAAUUGACCAAGUCAAUUAAGACCCUGGUGGUCUUUCUUAAAUUUUGUUUCUGGGCGCGUGGGUGGCUCAGUGGUUGAGCGUCUGCCUUCAGCUCAGGUCGUGAUCCCAGGAUCCUGGGAUCGAGUCCCACAUCGGCCUCCCUGCAUGAAGCCUGCU